UACGGGGGGGGCAAGCGUUGUUCGGAAUUACUGGGCGUAAAGGGCUCGUAGGCGGCCAACUAAGUCAGACGUGAAAUCCCUCGGCUUAACCGGGGAACUGCGUCUGAUACUGGAUGGCUUGAGGUUGGGAGAGGGAUGCGGAAUUCCAGGUGUAGCGGUGAAAUGCGAAGAUAUCUGGAGGAACACCGGUGGCGAAGGCGGCAUCCUGGACCGACACUGACGCUGAGGAGCGAAAGCCAGGGGAGCAAACGGG
rnacentral:rRNA from 1 species